rnacentral:rRNA from 1 species
GAUGAACGCUGGCGGCGUGCUUAACACAUGCAAGUCGAACGGAAAGGCCCAAGCUUGCUUGGGUACUCGAGUGGCGAACGGGUGAGUAACACGUGGGUGAUCUGCCCUGCACUUCGGGAUAAGCCUGGGAAACUGGGUCUAAUACCGGAUAGGACCACUUCUUGGAUGUUGUGGUGGAAAGUUUUUUCGGUGUGGGAUGAGCUCGCGGCCUAUCAGCUUGUUGGUGGGGUAAUGGCCUACCAAGGCGUCGACGGGUAGCCGGCCUGAGAGGGUGUACGGCCACAGUGGGACUGAGAUACGGCCCAGACUCCUACGGGAGGCAGCAGUGGGGAAGAUUGAACAAUGGGCGCAAGCCUGAUGCAGCGACGCCGCGUGGGGGAUGACGGCCUUCGGGUUGUAAACUCCUUUCGCUAGGGACGAAGCGUUUUGUGACGGUACCUGGAGAAGAAGCACCGGCUAACUACGUG